GAUGAAGAACGUAGCGAAAUGCGAUAAGUAGUGUGAAUUGCAGAAUUCAGUGAAUCAUCGAAUCUUUGAACGCACAUUGCGCCCUUUGGUAUUCCUUAGGGCAUGCCUGUUCGAGCGUCAUUUAAACCUUCAAGCUCAGCUUGGUGUUGGGUGACUGUCCGCUUCACCGUGGACUCGCCUCAAAAUUAUUGGCGGCCGGUACAUUGGCUUCGAGCGCAGCAGAAACGCGAACUCGGGCCCGUCGUAUUGGCUCCCAGAAGCUAUCUUCACAAUUUUGACCUCGGAUCAGGUAGGGAUACCCGCUGAACUUAAGCAUAUCAAUAAGCGGAGGA
rnacentral:misc_RNA from 1 species